CUGAGCGGCGAGCUUUAUCCCCUGCGCUCUGGCCCAAACGCAGGCCACGACAAUUGUACGAUAGUUGUGACUAAAAACCCAU